AGGGGGAUGAAAUAUACAUUAAGGUAAACUCUUUUAUCUAAGAUGGAGUAUUGACUUUUAAGAUUCUUCAGCCUGAGGAUAAUUUGGUGGUAAAUAAUUAAUUAUCCACAUUCCGCAGGCACAUUCACCGGCAAGUGUUGUUAUAGGCACUUAGGGAACCUUUUCUUAAAUUUGUCAUAAUUUGGUUUUAAUGCUGCAAAGAUUGUGCUGCUAUCAAUUCAUAGGAAAACUGAAUUUUCUAGGUUAAUUUGUUUUAUUCAUUCUUUCUGAUGGUGAUCUGGCAUUUUGUCCAAUGUCUAAGUAGAUGAAAGCAAACAAGGAGAAGAGAUUAACCUAGGAAACUUUGGUAUACUAAAAGGAGAAUGAAGCAUGGCUAUUCUUUUUUUUUUAAAUAUGAUAAAUUGGCCAUGCUGCCAAAGUGCCAAUGGUGAAUGAAUAGAGAAUGGCAUUGGCAUUCCUUGAAAAUACUUGUAUAACUGGUAUUGUAUGUCUUUGCUGUCAUUAUUGGAGAAUAACAAAAUCAAGC
rnacentral:misc_RNA from 1 species